rnacentral:rRNA from 1 species
AACGCUGGCGGCGUGCCUAAUACAUGCAAGUCGAGCGAACAGACGAGGAGCUUGCUCCUCUGACGUUAGCGGCGGACGGGUGAGUAACACGUGGAUAACCUACCUAUAAGACUGGGAUAACUUCGGGAAACCGGAGCUAAUACCGGAUAAUAUAUUGAACCGCAUGGUUCAAUAGUGAAAGACGGUUUUGCUGUCACUUAUAGAUGGAUCCGCGCCGCAUUAGCUAGUUGGUAAGGUAACGGCUUACCAAGGCAACGAUGCGUAGCCGACCUGAGAGGGUGAUCGGCCACACUGGAACUGAGACACGGUCCAGACUCCUACGGGAGGCAGCAGUAGGGAAUCUUCCGCAAUGGGCGAAAGCCUGACGGAGCAACGCCGCGUGAGUGAUGAAGGUCUUCGGAUCGUAAAACUCUGUUAUUAGGGAAGAACAAAUGUGUAAGUAACUAUGCACGUCUUGACGGUACCUAAUCAGAAAGCCACGGCUAACUACGUG